UGCUUUUUGCGCGCAAGUUUUGUAUGAAAUUGCAACAUUUACAUAAAUCUGGCAUUGCCAUCUGGCUGAUUUAAGCACUAAACCUAUAGCUAAAGAUGUCACAUCAUGUUUAUAUUUGAAAGAAAGAAAGAAAAAAUGUUUAUUCAGUAUCAUCGACAAUACACUUGCAUAUUUGAUAAAACUCCUAACCUGUAGGAGAUUCCAUAAUGUAAGUCACAUUUUUUUAACGUGUUAAUGAAAAAGCGCAAUCCCUGAAAUUAGUUUGUUCGGAAUCGAGAGUAGAAUCGAUUCCACUAAUAAAAAAUAGGGUCAAAUUUUAACCAAAAAAAUAUUUUAAUUACGCCGUGUUACUUAACUCUAUUAUCAGAGGUGUAUGAACUAUCUAACUACUAACCUACUCAUUGGCGUGCAUGCCUUGCAAUCAGCGAGUAAAAGAUCAAUACGUUUCUAGGGUUUCUAGGGCGAAAACAAAAAGAGUGAAUAUCUUCGUAAAUAAUCCGCGAAAAUUAAUUUUAAUAAUUUACAUAAUUCUUUUAUAAUAAAUAUAAGUUAGGGUGUCUAAGUUUUUGCACUUUUUCAUUAACACGUUGUAGUUAUAAAGUCAACAAAUACCUUAUUAAAUACAAAAUAUCACUGUGUAGUUAAGGAAUAUGAUAAUAACACAAUAAUACAAAAACAACAGGCAGUGGGUUAACAUAUUUUUUGUCUCACUCACGCCAGCAUGUUUAAGUGAGAGGCAAAUAAAUUAUGAGUGCCCAAUGAGAAGUAAUUUUGCUAAGUAAGCUCAUACUCAGGACAUGCAUUUGCAUUUUACAUGUCAUAAUAAUGCAGCAUGCAUGCAUGUAUGCUCUUUGCAUAACAUAAUAAUGUCGCAUGCUUGCAUGUACGCACUUUGCAUAUCAUAAUAAUGCAGUAUAAUAAUAUUGUGCCACUACAAGUGGAAUACUCGGAUUCAGUUUAUUUCAUUUAACUACAAUUAAUUUAUUUAACCAUUAUUGAAUUAAAUUAAUACUGUACAUUGGAAUUUAUCGAACUGAUGCAUUGAUGUGUUUUAAUACUACGUGUGUAAUAAAAUCAAAUUAUAUUUUGUUAAGAUUUAAAAAUUUCAUAGUAAACACAGAUCGAGGCAAACAUACUGUAUUUCUUAAUUAUUCAUAUUUUUCACUAAAGUGAUAAGGUGGCAUGUGCGACAGAGAUAGGUAAACUCAAUCAAUCAUGGAAUCAGCAUAUGAAACUGCUCUGAUAAAAA